GGACUUACAUGGCAGGGGAAAUACCAUGAUCAUGAGGGUGGCUUUGCCAGGAUGAAGCUUAUCCUGUUGCACUCGGGAUGUGCUGACCCCUGAGAUUUCCCCAGAUGUGGGAAAUUUGCCUGCACAAUUUGUGGUAGUGAGGGACUGUGGUAGUGAGGGUUUAAA